GCUAUAAAUCGUUGUAAAGUUCCCUCGACUAUCUUUCGUCUCCAUCAUCAGACUUUAAUGGCACUUGUAACUCAUAUAGGUGCAAAGUUCUCAUCAAUAGAAACGAAUUAAGUUCAAACAGCAGGUAAUUGCUAUAAGUCGUUGAAGAGUACCCUCGACUAUCUUUCGUCUCCAUCAUCAGACUUUAAUGGCACUUGUAACUCAUAUAGGUGCAAAGUUCUCAUCAAUAGAAACGAAUUAAGUUCAAACAGCAGGUAAUUGCUAUAAGUCGUUGAAGAGUACCCUCGACUAUCUUUCGUCUCCAUCAUCAGACUUUAAUGGCACUUGUAACUCAUAUAGGUGCAAAGUUCUCAUUAAUAGAAACGAAUUAAGUUCAAACAGC
rnacentral:misc_RNA from 1 species